ensembl:lncRNA
UUUAAUUUGUUUUUGUCUGUCAGGCAGCUAAAUAUCUUCCUUUAAAUCCUUUCUGUUUGAUGGAAAAUAGUGAAAAAGAUAGAUCAUGCAGCUCUCGCUAACUACUUUUUGGAAAAAGUUUAUAUUCUGAAGUCCUUCUUGCCACCUCUCUUUACUCAAGGAUGGAAGGGCUCUGGUGACAGGAUACGAGGAUUUGGAUCACUUGGUGAGAAGCAGUAGGUGGAAAGAAUUAAGGAUUGAGUUAUUGCGCAGGAAAAAGGAAAAGCUGAUAAUGAAAAUAGGAAAUUGCUCAAUUCUCUUUUUCUCUUCAUCAUUAUAUCAAGCUAAUAUUAAAGGCAGAAUCAAUACAUCUGAGCCUUUAUGGAAAAUGCUACAGCUUAAUAAGGCCUCUAGCAGAAAUGUGCUUGUUUCAU